GCCCUUGAAUAUAAAAUACACAACCUAUUAGCAUGUGUUAAUGAUCAGCCCCAACUAGCAAACCCAAAAGGAAACUAGCUCUGUAUCACACGGCUAUGAUUAACCCCAUGAUAGAGUAAAGAAACUAGUCCUGAAAAUAAAUAUGUAAAGUAUCAGUAUGUGCCAGCGAUCAGCCCCAACUAGCUAGGUUUGAAAGAACUAGUUCUAUCAGUGAUCAGUCC
rnacentral:lncRNA from 1 species